rnacentral:lncRNA from 1 species
GAUAUAAAGUCCAAUGAGCAUGGUCUACAGGGGAUGAGCUUCUGGAAUAUACUAAGCUUAUGUCACUUGGAAUCUUUUAAACCACAAUGUAGAUCCAAUGGCAUGCAACCUAAGCGUUCACUGUGCAUACAAUAGUCGGAAGCUUUGUUCAUAUUUGGCAGACAUCACAAACCAAACCAUUUGCUUUCUUCUUUCUGCCAUCUUCUUCACGUGGAUUCCUCUACACAUGCAGUCUGUUGGUUAUACUCAACACAAUCUGCAAGCAAACAGAGCAGCGAUAAGUUUAUCCACUAAGGGAACACCAGUACGACGCACCCCACCAUUAUCUCGUGGCCUUCGAAGCGUCCCCGUGACCGUCCAAUCCGGACAACCCCGGGUCACGGGCUCCGUAUCCCACCGCUAUAUGUAUGGGCACCGAU